rnacentral:other from 3 species
AAUAACCUGGGGUGUUCGAUACCCCUGUCAUUUUGAACCUACAUUACUUUAAACGGGAUUCCUACAUCUCUGUAAUAUGUCAAGCCGCCGUUUAUGCAGCGGAAGACAAAAAAGCAGAUGCGGUCGCCCACCUAGCGUCAGCUAGGAGUCAAAAUACAGGGAACGGCAUUUUGGGGACUCA